rnacentral:rRNA from 2 species
AACUAUGUUGAAUUGAAUUGAAAUUGAGUUCUCGUCUGAUCACUGAAGUUAAGCAGCGUCGGGCGCGGUUAGUACUUGGAUGGGUGACCGCUUGGGAACACCGCGUGCCGUUGCCU